GUCGUGGCGUCUGUUCCACGGUCUGCGCCAAAACUGGUAAAAUUGGCGUCUGGAGAGAACGUGGACACACCAGGAAACGUCGUUGCCAAUGCACUUGCUCCGCAUGAUAUGCACAGAAAUAUUAGAUCUACGGCAAAUAACUGAGGCUUCAUUUUUUCACUGCAGACGGAAGAUCCCGCGUCCUGGAUUGCGCUCUGGAGAAAAAAGAGAAGAGGACGGACUUGUUUUGAUUUGUAGUGGCUGUUAUCACCUCUAGAGGCUCCGGUAGUGGUCCGCAGAGAGGGAGGUCUGCCUGGCUGCACGUGCUGUCCCCAAACAAACACCACAACAUCCCUCAGCUGAAGGAAGUGAGCCUCUUCUUCAUGUACAGAAAGGCAACGUAUGUGGCUCCGCCCAGGAGGCCUAUCAGCAGAGUGGUACCCACAAUUACCGGCGCGUUCUUCUUGGCCACCCGAAACGCCA